rnacentral:rRNA from 1 species
UACAGAGGUCCCAAGCGUUGUUCGGAUUCAUUGGGCGUAAAGGGUGCGUAGGCGGCGCGGUAAGUCGGGUGUGAAAUCUCAGAGCUUAACUCCGAAACUGCAUUCGAUACUGCCGUGCUUGAGGACUGGAGAGGAGACUGGAAUUUACGGUGUAGCGGUGAAAUGCGUAGAUAUCGUAAGGAAGACCAGUGGCGAAGGCGGGUCUCUGGACAGUUCCUGACGCUGAGGCACGAAGGCCAGGGGAGCAAACGGG